UAACUAUUUCACCGACCUUAAUGGAAUUAGAAAUGCCCAAAUAUUACCUGCUAAACUGCAGCUGAUGGAAUGAUAGAAAUUUAAAUGGAAAAGUCCAAGGGAACAAAUAACCAAAUUUAUCCAUCAACCUCCAUGGUAGUAGAUGUAUCUCUAGGAAGUUGUUCAGUAAAUUUUUCUGUAACCGCAUCACAAAGGUCAAUCAAAUCAUCGAGCCCUUUUCUUAAAACAUCUACAGCGGUUGUUGAAGCUUGAAUUCGUUAGUUGAGUUUGUCCCAAAAUAUUAUUAAUCAAAUCUAUAAGUUAAUAUUUCAUUCAAUCACUUACGUGCUGUCUGAAUUCGAAAAUUCAUUUUUGCUUCAGAUGGAUGUGGGAUGGAGUAACCGCAAAACUCAACCUCAGGACUGAAAACAUUAGUGUUAAUAUAUGUUUACAAUUUA